GAUGAACGCUGGCGGCGUGCCUAGUACAUGCAAGUCGAGCGAACGGACGAGAAGCUUGCUUCUCUGAUGUUAGCGGCGGACGGGUGAGUAACACGUGGAUAACCUACCUAUAAGACUGGGAUAACUUCGGGAAACCGGAGCUAAUACCGGAUGAUAUUUUGAACCGCAUGGUUCAAAAGUGAAAGACGGUCUUGCUGUCACUUAUAGAUGGAUCCGCGCUGCAUUAGCUAGUUGGUAAGGUAACGGCUUACCAAGGCAACGAUGCAUAGCCGACCUGAGAGGGUGAUCGGCCACACUGGAACUGAGACACGGUCCAGACUCCUACGGGAGGCAGCAGUAGGGAAUCUUCCGCAAUGGGCGAAAGCCUGACGGAGCAACGCCGCGUGAGUGAUGAAGGUCUUCGGAUCGUAAAACUCUGUUAUUAGGGAAGAACAUAUGUGUAAGUAACUGUGCACAUCUUGACGGUACCUAAUCAGAAGGCCACGGCUAACUACGUG
rnacentral:rRNA from 1 species